UACCUAUGUUGCUUCGGCGGGUCGUCCCGCGGCGCGCCCUCGUGGCGUGACCCGGACCCAGGCGCCCGCCGGGGAACCAAACUCUUGUCUUCCAGUGUCUCCUCUGAGUGGCAU
rnacentral:rRNA from 1 species